rnacentral:rRNA from 1 species
UAGUGGCGAACGGGUGAGUAACACGUGGGCAAUCUGCCCUUCACUCUGGGACAAGCCCUGGAAACGGGGUCUAAUACCGGAUAACACUCUGUCCCGCAUGGGACGGGGUUGAAAGCUCCGGCGGUGAAGGAUGAGCCCGCGGCCUAUCAGCUUGUUGGUGGGGUGAUGGCCUACCAAGGCGACGACGGGUAGCCGGCCUGAGAGGGCGACCGGCCACACUGGGACUGAGACACGGCCCAGACUCCUACGGGAGGCAGCAGUGGGGAAUAUUGCACAAUGGGCGAAAGCCUGAUGCAGCGACGCCGCGUGAGGGAUGACGGCCUUCGGGUUGUAAACCUCUUUCAGCAGGGAAGAAGCGAGAGUGACGGUACCUGCAGAAGAAGCGCCGGCUAACUACGUGCCAGCAGCCGCGGUAAUACGUAGGGCGCAAGCGUUGUCCGGAUUUAUUGGGCGUAAAGAGCUCGUAGGCGGCUUGUUGCGUCGGUUGUGAAAGCCCGGGGCUUANCCCCGGGUCUGCAGUCGAUACGGGCAGGCUAGAGUGUGGUAGGGGAGAUCGGAAUUCCU